AGCUCCAAUAGCGUAUAUUAAUGUUGUUGCAGUUAAAAAGCUCGUAGUUGGAUUUCUGACAGGAGCGACCGGUCCGAGCAUUCGUGUUCGUGUUACUUGUGUUGUCUCUAGUCAUCCUUAUAGAGAACAAAUAUUGGCAUUAAGUUGUUGUGUUUGGGACCUAUAUCGUUUACUGUGAAAAAAUUAGAGUGUUCAAAGCAGGCAAUCGCUGUGAAUAUAUUAGCAUGGAAUAAUAAGAUAGGACUAUGGUACUAUUUUGUUGGUUUGCAUACCAAAGUAAUGAUUAAGAGGGACAGUUGGGGGUAUUCGUAUUUACAUGUCAGAGGUGAAAUUCUUGGAUUUUGGAAAGACGAACUACUGCGAAAGCAUUUACCAAGGAUGUUUUCAUUA
rnacentral:rRNA from 1 species